AUGGGAGUCAAGGGUUUGACGAAGCUGCUGGCGGACAACGCGCCCAAGUCGAUGAGGGAGCAGAAGUUCGAGAGCUACUUCGGCCGCCGCAUCGCCGUCGACGCCAGCAUGUGCAUCUACCAGUUCCUCAUUGUAGUUGGAAGGACAGGGAUGGAAACCCUUACAAACGAAGCCGGUGAUGUCACCAGUCAUUUGCAAGGCAUGUUCAGCCGGACAAUAAGGUUGCUCGAGGCAGGAAUUAAACCAGUAUAUGUUUUUGAUGGCAAGCCUCCUGAAAUGAAGAAGGACGAGCUUUUAAAAAGACACGCAAAGAGGAAUGAAGCAACAGAAGGGCUGACGAAGGCAGUAGAGGCAGGAGAUACGGAUGCAAUUGAAAAAUUCAGCAAGAGAACUGUAAAGGUCACGAAGCAGCACAAUGAUGAUUGUAAGCGUCUACUAAGACUGAUGGGUGUUCCUGUUGUGGAGGCUCCUUGUGAAGCAGAAUCACAAUGUGCUGCCCUUUGCAAGAAUGACAAGGUGUAUGCUGUUGCAUCCGAAGAUAUGGACUCACUUACUUUUGGAGCUACACGGUUUGUUCGUCAUUUGAUGGAUCCAAGUUCCAGGAAAAUACCUGUUAUGGAAUUUGAAGUUGCGAAAAUUCUUGAGGAGCUUCAAUUCACUAUGGACCAAUUCAUUGACUUGUGCAUCCUCUGUGGAUGUGACUACUGUGAUAGCAUUAAAGGCAUUGGUGGUCUUACAGCUCUGAAGCUCAUUCGUCAGCACGGGUCUAUUGAGGGCAUUCUGGAAAAUAUUAAUAAAGACAAAUAUCAAAUUCCUGAGGACUGGCCUUAUCAAGAAGCUCGGCGCAUGUUCAAGGAACCCGAUGUAACACUGGAUAUUCCCGAGCUCAAAUGGACUGCACCUGAUGAGGAGGGCCUCGUCAACUUUCUGGUGAAAGAAAAUGGUUUCAAUCAAGAUCGUGUGACAAAGGCCAUAGAGAAGAUUAAAUCGGCGAAGAAUAAAUCAUCCCAAGGAAGGCUCGAGUCAUUUUUCAAGCCAACUGUUAGCACAUCAGUGCCAUUGAAGCGGAAGGAAACUUCGGAGAAACCAGCCAGCGCAGCUGCUAGCAAGAAGACGAAGUCAACCCGCGGAAGGAAGAAAUAG
rnacentral:rRNA from 1 species